rnacentral:rRNA from 1 species
UACAGAGGGGGCAAGCGUUAUUCGGAAUUAUUGGGCGUAAAGGGCGCGUAGGCGGCCUGUCAAGUCUCUCGUGAAAUCCCUCGGCUUAACUGAGGACGUGCGGGAGAUACUGUCAGGCUGGAGUCCGGAAGAGGGUGGUGGAAUUUCCAGUGUAGCGGUGAAAUGCGUAGAUAUCGGGAGGAACACCAGUGGCGAAGGCGACUUCCUGGCCUGUUCUUGACGCUGAGGCGCGAAAGCUAGGGGAGCAAACGGG